rnacentral:rRNA from 1 species
AUGUACCGAAGACGCGGAAUUACCUAUGGUAAUUGGUAGAGGAGCGUUCUCAUUGGGGAGAAGCGAUACGGAAACGAGUCGUGGACUAAUGAGAAGAGAGAAUGCCGGUAUAAGUACACGAUAAGGCAGGUGAGAAUCCUGCCCGCCGGAAGUCUAAGGAUUCCUGGGGAAGGCUCGUCCGCCCAGGGUAAGUCGGGACCUAAGGCAAGGCCGAAAGGCGUAGUCGAUGGGAAACAGGUAGAUAUUCCUGUACCACCGCUAUAUGAUGACGAAGCAGUGACGCAGAAAGGUAGAGCGAGCGGCCAGUUGGUGAGCCGUUCAAGUGAGUAGGGUGUUGCGUAGGCAAAUCCGCGCAACGUAGGCCUGAGACACGAUGACGAGUGAAAAAUAGUAACGAAGUCCUUGAUCCUCCGCUGCCAAGAAAAGCUGCUAAGGAAUAUAGAGGUGCCCGUACCGCAAACCGACACAGGUAGACAGGAGAGAAUACUAAGGCGCGCGAGAUAACUCUUGUUAAGGAACUCUGCAAAAUGAACCCGUAACUUCGGGAGAAGGGUUGCUCUCUAGCGUGAGUAUGAGCAAUACAGAGCGCAGGAGAGUCGCAGUGAAAAGGUCCAGGCGACUGUUUAGCAAAAACACAGGUCAUUGCAAAAUCGCAAGAUGAAGUAUAAUGGCUGACGCCUGCCCGGUGCUGGAAGGUUAAGGGGAAGAGUGCAAGCUUUGAACCGAAGCCCCAGUAAACGGCGGCCGUAACUAUAACGGUCCUAAGGUAGCGAAAUUCCUUGUCGGGUAAGUUCCGACCCGCACGAAAGGCGAAACGAUCUGGACGCUGUCUCAACAAGGGACUCGGUGAAAUUGAAAUUCCGGUAAAGAUGCCGGAUACCUGCGAUAGGACAGAAAGACCCCAUGGAGCUUUACUGUAGCCUGAUAUUGGGUUUCGGAUAUUCAUGUACAGGAUAGGUGGGAGACUAAGAAGCAUGGACGCCAGUUUGUGCGGAGUCACUGGUGGGAUACCACCCUUAAAGUAUUGGAAUUCUAACAAGGAGUCUUGAAGCAGAUUAUUGGACAGUGUCAGGUGGGCAGUUUGACUGGGGCGGUCGCCUCCCAAAAGGUAACGGAGGCGCUCAAAGGUUCCCUCAGAACGGAUGGAAAUCGUUCGCAGAGUGCAAAGGCAGAAGGGAGCUUGACUGCGAGAGCCACAACUCGAGCAGAUAGGAAACUAGGACUUAGUGAUCCGGCGGUCGCGAGUGGAAGUGCCGUCGCUCAACGGAUAAAAGCUACCCUGGGGAUAACAG